UCUUUAGAAACUGAUUUUGAAGAAGGUACAGUACUUGAGAGAAUGUCUUUAAACAGUAUGUUUGGAUCAUCCUCUGUUACCACCUGUUACCUCUAUGAAGGAUUAGUAAGUGGAAGUUAUGACAUGUACUUCUUUUUACAAUUUUACUCUACUAUUCAUUUGAUAAAGAAAUACUGUGAGUCUUGGUUAAAACUAUAGGAAAUAUAUCUUGUAAAAAUAAAAUUUACUUGUGACAUACAAACUAUAUGGACUAAUCAAUACAGCUUCACAUUAUCCUUUCUAAGAUUAACUGAAGCUCCUUCAGUGUCAAUACCCAUAUCACACUGAUUUUUAGAUACAUUAAUAGUGCUGGUGUGCAUUUUGAGUAAGGUUGGUGUUAACAUAUAAUGUCUGAAGAUCUACUGCCAGGGUAUUUGCUACUUCUGACCAAAAUUCCUGGGAGUCUAAAGCUUUAAAGAGAAAAUUAAAAUCCCAAAUUUUGAGCUAGCACUUAAAUGAAGGGCAGAAAAGCCUCAGUGAUUAUAGCUCCUCUCAAGCGGCUGGAAGGACUGGGUAUGGGGCCAGCCUCCAUCCUGGCUCUGGGUUUUGUAUCUGGAGCUCUCCUUUCCAGGGGGCAUCUCUCUGCCCUCCUGUAAUAACUGGUAUUUUAUAGGAUAUUUGCAGGCAUCGCCCACUACAAUCUGUUCUGCUAAAUUAAACUAGAUUUAUAGAAAAUCUGCAUUCUCACUUUUAAUAUAUACUAAUAUUUAAAAUCUUACUUAUUCUGCAUAAAGUACUGAAUGCAGCUUAUAAAUCUAUUUGCAAAGUGGAUUUGAAGUUUGAGAAAAUAUUCUUAAUCAUUAAAUGAAGCGUCUGCAAUGCUGUGCCACCUUCAUUUUAUUUUUUCAAAUUCAUUCCCAAACAAGACUGGCCUCUCUCACAUAGUGACAAGCCACUCAGAAGAUCCAAACUGGGUCUGCGUGAAUUUACAGAAUGAAGCGUAUUAAGACCUAUUUUAGAUCAAACUCCAAAUUCUAAUUCCUAAAUCUCAGUUCCAAGGUAUAAUACACAACUUUCCUCAACAUUCUGUAAGGAACAUGCUACUACAAUGAAUAUUUAAAGCAUCAACAUCAUCUCUAGCAAAACAGAGAAGAACCACCAGAUCCCUGGGACAGUGAGAGGGCAAGAAAACGAGGACAGAGAGCAGGAAAGCACCGCAGAAGGACCCUAAGGAGGUCAGCCCUGCCUCCCCGUUCUCAGACACAAUAACCACCCUGAACAGAGGACGAGGAUGAACCUGCUUCACAGCCCGCUACUCUAAUGUUCCUAAAGUGGAAGGAUAAACAAUCAACAUUUCCCUUUAACUUUUCUUAUAUACAAGUAUGGUUUUUAUUUUUUUAUUUUUUUCUCAUAUACAAAUAUGGUUUUUAAAUUUCUCUCUGGAUUUUUUACACAUUAUGGUUCAUUCUAUUCAUUAACUUCCUAUUGUUCCUACAAGUCUUGGGUAUUUUUCACCAUUUUCCUGGGUUCUAUGAUUCAUUUCUCCUUUUGAGAACACCUCCACAGCCAUUUCAGUUCUUUCCGUAGUUUCUUAUUAAUUAUAUUUUCUGCCACAUCUGUGGGCACUGGGGGGAAAAGGCUGAUUCGAGAGGUAUUUCACCUUGACAAAAAUUUCAGAAAUUUGCUCCACUUCUAUGGAGCGUUUUCAGUGAAUUAAAAAUGCUUAUUUGCUUUUUAAAAUUUUAUUUCAUGUCUUUCUUUUCUUGGAAUUCUAAAGCUAAUUAAUUUACUACUACAGAGCCUAGAAGCCAUCCUUUCCUGGUAUUUAAUAAUCAACUUCUCCCUCUGCAUGAGUACCUAAAUCCAGAAGCACACCCGCCCUCAUAAUUUCCUGUUAUAAGUCAAAACCCUUCCUCCAUGCACCAAUGCUAACAACUUGCUACACAAGACGUGAUUUGUCAGGCUUGGUUUCAAGGAAAAUUUUUCCAAUA